rnacentral:rRNA from 1 species
GUUGUAUAGUCAAGUAAUUAAGUGCAUGUGGUGGAUGCCUUGGCAGUCAGAGGCGAUGAAAGACGUGAUAG